GGUGAUAUUCUAAGAUCGAUUCAUCAGGUAGAUGAAAUGAUAGAAAGGGAAAAUGCGACCUCAACAUCUUCUAUUUAUCCUAGCUACUACCUCCAUACCGGAUUAAUUUUGUGAUAUAUAUCUUAUACUUUAUUGACCAAAUUAGUAGUCAAACUUGUUUCUCGAAGUGCGUAAUUGCCCAUUAAUCCGGUAUGGAGGUAGUAGCAUAAUUUGGUUCCUUCUGCUGAGUUAAUGAGGCCUUUUAAUGUCGUAUUUAAAGUUUUAAAUCGCCUUACUCACAGGUCACACCAUUCCAGACCACCACAAUAAAUGUAAUUGUGUGCUGAGUUAAUGAGUACGUAGCUGUAUAUAUACUGGGCUUUUUUUUGUGUGAAGGAGAACAGGUCAAUAAAUGAAAUUGUGUGCUCACACCAUUCCCACAAUAAAUGAGAAAUCGCCUGUACAGAGCUGUCCAUCUCCAACGACGACUCUAUUUAUACAUGCGGAAGGUUAGGCUUGCACAGAGAGGCGACAGUUUGCACUUUGCAGAGGGACUAGUGGAUGUCGAGAAGAACGUCGAGGCUCCCUCCCAGUAUUUCGUUUCUCCGGCCCAGAUUUAGGAUGAAGGCGGAGGUCCUGAAUUCCUCUUCUCCGAGAUGCACUUACUGCGCACAAAUGGCUUCUAGCGGGGUGGUUUGUUGAGAUUAGAUCUGGGGGUGAGAACGUGGACAAGAAUCAUACAAAUGGCUUUCAAAGAGGUGGUUUGCUGAGAUUAGAGCUAGGGGCGAGAACAUGGACAAGAUGCUCAAGCUAG